rnacentral:rRNA from 1 species
UACCAGCACCCCGAGUGGUCGGGACGUUUAUUGGGCCUAAAGCAUCCGUAGCCGGUUCUACAAGUCUUCCGUUAAAUCCACCUGCUUAACAGAUGGGCUGCGGAAGAUACUAUAGAGCUAGGAGGCGGGAGAGGCAAGCGGUACUCGAUGGGUAGGGGUAAAAUCCGUUGAUCCAUUGAAGACCACCAGUGGCGAAGGCGGCUUGCCAGAACGCGCUCGACGGUGAGGGAUGAAAGCUGGGGGGGCAAACCGG